GACGAACGCUGGCGGCGUGCCUAACACAUGCAAGUCGAACGGAGAAUUUCGAAGGGUAACCGGAGAAAUUUUUAGUGGCGGACGGGUGAGUAACGCGUGGGUAACCUACCCAACAGACCGGGACAACACUUGGAAACGAGUGCUAAUACCGGAUAGCCUAUGACUCCGGCAUCGGAGAGAUAGGAAAGGUGGCCUCUAUUUAUAAGCUACCGUUGUAGGAUGGACCCGCGUCUGAUUAGCUAGUUGGUGGGGUAAUGGCCUACCAAGGCAACGAUCAGUAGCCGGCCUGAGAGGGUGAACGGCCACACUGGGACUGAGACACGGCCCAGACUCCUACGGGAGGCUG
rnacentral:rRNA from 1 species